UACGUAGGGUGCAAGCGUCGUCCGGAAUUAUUGGGCGUAAAGAGCUCGUAGGCGGUUUGUUGCGUCGGCUGUGAAAACCUGAGGCUCAACCUCAGGCCUGCAGUCGAUACGAGCAGACUAGAGUGUUGCAGGGGAGACUGGAAUUCCUGGUGUAGCGGUGAAAUGCGCAGAUAUCAGGAGGAACACCGGUGGCGAAGGCGGGUCUCUGGGCAACAACUGACGCUGAGGUGCGAAAGCGUGGGGAGCGAACGGG
rnacentral:rRNA from 1 species